GUUAUCCGGAUUUAUUGGGCGUAAAGAGAGUGCAGGCGGUUUUCUAAGUCUGAUGUGAAAGCCUUCGGCUUAACCGGAGAAGUGCAUCGGAAACUGGAUAACUUGAGUGCAGAAGAGGGUAGUGGAACUCCAUGUGUAGCGGUGGAAUGCGUAGAUAUAUGGAAGAACACCAGUGGCGAAGGCGGCUACCUGGUCUGCAACUGACGCUGAGACUCGAAAGCAUGGGUAGCGAACAGGAUUAGAUACCCUGGUAGUCCAUGCCGUAAACGAUGAGUGCUAGGUGUUGGAGGGUUUCCGCCCUUCAGUGCCGGAGCUAACGCAUUAAGCACUCCGCCUGGGGAGUACGACCGCAAGGUUGAAACUCAAAGGAAUUGACGGGGGCCCGCACAAGCGGUGGAGCAUGUGGUUUAAUUCGAAGCUACGCGAAGAACCUUACCAGGUCUUGACAUCUUGCGCCAACCCUAGAGAUAGGGCGUUUCCUUCGGGAACGCAAUGACAGGUGGUGCAUGGUCGUCGUCAGCUCGUGUCGUGAGAUGUUGGGUUAAGUCCCGCAACGAGCGCAACCCUUGUUACUAGUUGCCAGCAUUAAGUUGGGCACUCUAGUGAGACUGCCGGUGACAAACCGGAGGAAGGUGGGGACGACGUCAGAUCAUCAUGCCCCUUAUGACCUGGGCUACACACGUGCUACAAUGGACGGUACAACGAGUCGCGAACUCGCGAGGGCAAGCAAAUCUCUUAAAACCGUUCUCAGUUCGGACUGCAGGCUGCAACUCGCCUGCACGAAGUCGGAAUCGCUAGUAAUCGCGGAUCAGCAUGCCGCGGUGAA
rnacentral:rRNA from 2 species